rnacentral:rRNA from 1 species
AUUGAACGCUGGCGGCAUGCCUUACACAUGCAAGUCGAACGGUAACAGGUCUUCGGAUGCUGACGAGUGGCGAACGGGUGAGUAAUACACCGGAACGUGCCCGAUCGUGGGGGAUAACGAAGCGAAAGCUUUGCUAAUACCGCAUAAGAUCUAAGGAUGAAAGCAGGGGACCGCAAGGCCUUGCGCGAACGGAGCGGCCGAUGGCAGAUUAGGUAGUUGGUGGGAUAAAAGCUUACCAAGCCGACGAUCUGUAGCUGGUCUGAGAGGACGACCAGCCACACUGGGACUGAGACACGGCCCAGACUCCUACGGGAGGCAGCAGUGGGGAAUUUUGGACAAUGGGCGAAAGCCUGAUCCAGCCAUGCCGCGUGCAGGAUGAAGGCCUUCGGGUUGUAAACUGCUUUUGUACGGAACGAAGAGACUCUUUCUAAUAAAGAGGGUCCAUGACGGUACCGUAAGAAUAAGCACCGGCUAACUACGUGCCAGCAGCCGCGGUAA